AGGCAGAGAGGAAUGAUGGCGCAAAGAGAAUGAAUUUUAUCCUGUCUGGUUGAAGGAAGGGGUAGGCAUUGAACUAUUUUAAGCUGGAGCCUGAUGCGAUCCAAUUUGCAUUUUAGACAGAUCACUAUGGUGAUGAUGGGUUGGAAGGAGGCUGUUUGGGAAGCAGGGAAAAUAAGGAGCUGCCGCAUCAGUGGCAAAGCAAAGGAGAGGCUGCUUGGAGAGAUACAUGUCAAUGACAAAACUUCAAGUCACACUGCACAGAGAAAGGAAGAAGGAAAUGCAGAUGUUCAGCCUGGAGAAGAAGAGACACGCAGAAGAGGCGAAUGGAGAUUGGUUUGACAUGAAAUGCUCAUAGGCUUACUAAACAGAACUCAGCCCCUGAGAUGCACCGUGGCAGGUGGAGCGAGCACUGACUCUAGAAGAUGAUUGAGGUGGAUUUGGAUCCUGACACCUGCUGUGGCCCAGAGCACAUCAGUGGAGACCUCUAAGCUUCAAUGUAAUAUAAAAUCUAAUGACCAAGCGAAAAACAAAUGCAUCUGGUACAGCUGGUCCAUUCAAAGUCUGUGCAAGCUGGAAUGACGGCCUCCAGGCAAAACCGUCAGUACUUGGAGUAUCCUCUCUGUUCGUCGGGAUUCAACGUCUGUGAAAUAAAAUUUGAUGCCUUCCAUAGGUAUCUCAUCUGAAAUGGCAAGAUUUCUCUGAAGCAAGAUCAGAGAAAAUGUAUCUUAUGUGUUUCCUAGUUUGUAGUCAUGAGACACAGCAAAAGUACGAAACCUACGAGCAUACCAUCACCGCCUGUGAUAUUGAAGUAAGGAAUAAACAAAGAGAAAAGAGCAAAAGGGAAGCAUGAAGACUUCAUAAGCAAACAGGGAAGCCAUUCUAAUCUAAAAUUAUUUUGAUAAUGUAUGUAAUACACUAAAUGGCAUGAGAAAUGAGAACACAAAAAUGUACCAUUGCUUGUUAUUUUGGAGGGGAGGACAGUUGCAUCUGCUCUUGUAACUGUCAAAUGUGUUCUUCUUGUGCCGCAAGGAUCCAUCAUAGCCAGCUAGAGACUGGGGGCUGGCAGUUCUAUUGAUAGACUUGAGCACACACUGCAGUCUGUCAAGUCUCACAUUUACAUCUUAGGAUCUAAUCCGUUUUUCUUUCCUUCAUGAAAUCAAUUCUGUAGCAAUUAAAUAACCAGCCCACAAGGUACUUUAAUAUCCCAAGCAUUUAUCUGUAUAUAGCCCAGAAAGGAAAAGGUAAUUAGAAGUGACUUACUAUCACCAGUGCUGGGGGACACAUUAGAAAAAUCAGUGCUUCAUCAUUACUUUAAAGAGGUACCUCUAAAUCUACUUCAUUUGUGAUUCAAUCCUCCUCUGUGACAUGCUGCUGAGUCCUUUGAUUCCUAGAGGACAGAGACUUUUAAAUGGUUGUCAUUAUAUGGGAUUUUGUUUCAUUUUCUGUCAAUUUCAGGCAUCACUGAAAUAGACUCUUAUUAGCUGUGGGAUGGUAUCAUCACAUGCACACAGCAUUGGUUCAAGUAGGUUUUGAAAGAUGUGAAAAGGCUCAAAGAAAAUGACUUUCGAUGUCCUCAUCCAUUUGAGUGUUUUAACCUGAGUCCUGUAGGUUAGAAUUUCUUGAGGAGUGAUUUAUGGGGGAAAAAAAAGCAAGGAAUUUCCAUAAGACCCAAGCAAAUUUUAUUGGUCUUCUCUUUGAAAACUGAGUUUACAAUUUCAGAUCAAUAGCCUGAACAUAUGAGGAAGUUAUGGCAGAGUCUAAUGAGCAUAGAAUUUACCCUUGAAAGACAACUGUAAUUCCUGGUACUGCCUCUUCUAGCUACUAGUAAAACCCCUGCACCUAGAUUUCCUCAUUUACAUAAUGGUAAUAAAAUACCCUUGGUGGUUAUUAGAUGCACAUCGCUUUCUGUAUCAGCAACUGAAAUUGAGGUGCAUAUCACCAUGCAUGAUUGCUUUCAAUACUCCACAUCAGUGUUUGGGACCAAGCUGUUGCUUAGGGCUGCCCUGGUACUCCAGAAGUAUAAAGCUAAGGAAUCACUAAGGUGAGAACUUGGUAAUGUCUUUGUCACCACCUCCCCAGUUCUUCCUAGUUAUAUUCACAGUCUCUUUGUUUCAAGCCAUCUCUCUGCUGAACCUGGGUAUGGAAGCCUUCAGAUUCAGGAAUUCAAUGUGGGAUAUAGCAACAAGGUAAAUUUCCUUGAUCUAUUACCUAGUUUUUUUUUACCUAUUUGCUAUAAUAAUGCACCUAGUAGAGGCACUUCAAGUCAUAAGUCACACGGAAUAAUUAGGGAACUCAUCUGUGGCUGAAGGGAAGAUUCAAAGCACAUUUAUAAGAGGCAUAAAAUAAAUUUUAUAAGUGACUCAAAGUA